CGGGGGGGGCAGGCGUUGUUCGGAAUUACUGGGCGUUAAGGGCUCGUAGGCGGCCAACUAAGUCAGACGUGAAAUCCCUCGGCUUAACCGGGGAACUGCGUCUGAUACUGGAUGGCUUGAGUUUGGGAGAGGGAUGCGGAAUUCCAGGUGUAGCGGUGAAAUGCGUAGAUAUCUGGAGGAACACCGGUGGCGAAGGCGGCAUCCUGGACCAACACUGACGCUGAGUGAGCGAAAGCCAGGGGAGCAAACGGGAUUAGAUACCCCGGUAGUCCUGGCCCUAAACGAUGAAUGCUUGGUGUGGCGGGUAUCGAUCCCUGCCGUGCCGAAGCUAACGCAUUAAGCAUUCCGCCUGGGGAGUACGGUCGCAAGGCUG
rnacentral:rRNA from 1 species